GCAAUAAGAAGAAGUGGAGUCCAUCUCUCGCUCUCUCGCUCUCUCGCUCUCUUUCUCUCUCUUUCUCUCUCUCUCUCUCUCUCUCUCUCUAACUAUCUCUCUGACCAGCUUUAGCGACGGGGCAGUUUUGCGUAAAAGCCGGCGAUUUCCAAUCUCUCCGUAUGAAUUAAAACACACACGCACACUCACACACACACACAUUCAGAUAAGCUCGUGACGUUUCCAGGAGGAUUGUGGUAAGUGCAUGAAUAUGAUUUGUCUUUAAUAAUACUGCAGUAAAAGCAGAGAGUGUGUGUAGGACUUGAUCAAGUGAAGUGGUUUGGAUUGCGAAUGCCUUACGCACUCCGUAGUGUACCGAUUCUUCAUUUUGACUUAUUUUAAGUAGUGUGUACAUCGUUUGCAGUAAAUAAACAGCAUAAUAAACCAGCAACUGUAUGGAAUGGCUUAUUUAAUUUCUUAUCUACAUGCUAAUUGGAGUAUAUACUAAGAGAACUUUUAACUUUUAUGGACAGAGAUUAAGCCUAAUCGUAGAUUUUAUUUUUCUUUCAGCGGACAACUUUCAUUCAAAAUGCUGUGCAGUCCAAGACUAGGCUUAAUCGAUGUCCGAGAAACUGACGCAAAUAGUUCAGACUAGACUACUUAAUUAUUAUCAGAUCUAAACAAAAUGUAAAUAAACACAAUAUAUAAACAUAACUUAAAGGGUAACACAUAGUUGUUUUUUUCUAAUAAGCCUAGACAAAUAGAAUAGUUUAAUUCCAAUACUUUGCUACACUGUGGUAGUCUGUGCUUUAAAGUUUUAACCAGUCCCAACUUUCUUGAGAAGAUUACAAACGGCUUAGCAUUGGUUUUUGGGGGACUAGUUUCCAGUGAGGAGUAAAGUAAACAGGCACAGUAUGAAGGGAAGCUAUCCGGCGAAGCCUAAGAUGACAUUAAGGGGUGGUAAAAUUUCAUCUGGUGGUGUCAGAUUGAGGUCAGUUUAGGGUUAAAGCUCUCGGUGUCGGUGUGGGACAUGCCCAGCUGCGUUUGGAUUCAUUAGGGGGCAGAGGAUCCAUUUCAAGUAAAACAGGGAGACAAUCCCGAGCCUAUGAAGCCUUUCAUAUCCUGCAUUAUACUUCCUAUUGUAGCAAACAACUGUAGCCUAUGUAGUAAUGGUCACAUAGUCCUGCGUCUAGAGGUCAGUUAUUAAAUAAAACAUUAAAAUCACACGCAGGGUUCAUUCAAAUUAAUGACUUUAUCUAGUUUAGAGAGAACAUUAAAGAGCAAACCUAACAUUAAUCGUGGCAGUCUAACUAAAUGUAGAACAGGUUGUAAUUUUGGUUUUCUAAAGUAAUUAAUUAAUUAAUUCAUUCAUUCAUUCUUAUUUUAAAGGACAAUAUUAACACAUUGUUUUGAGCGCAAGCUCCAAUGGAAUCAGACAUUUUUUACACAUUAAAAAUAAAAUACAAUUGUACGUUUAAUAGUUAUUUUUGAAUGAACUAAAUCUUGUUUAUUCUUUAUUUUUUAAAUUAUGCAAUCAUCUAAAUUACCUAAUUAAAGUGAACUCUCUGUGACCUGCAGUGAAACGGUUCUGGCUCUCUGCUACUUAAACACUAGGAAAACUUUUCACGUCUAACUGUAAAUUCUUCAGUCUGUAUGGCAUUUGUUACUUCCAGUGUAGAGUAUGGAUCAGUAAAGUAAGAAUGUGUGUGUGUAGUGGUCGGCUGGGGUACAGAGUGUAUCGCCGUUUCCAGAGAAUAGUUAAAAUAUCUUUGUGAGGAUUUUCUUUUUGCUGGGCCUGCUGGGUUAAAUAUGCGGCGCUUUAGCGCCAUCUGGCGGAAAGCAGCCCGGAUUUCACUUAAAGCCGCUUCGUGUUGCAGAUUAAUCAGACCGGGUACAGAAAACGGAAUCGCGUAAAGGAAAAACAAAAUUCCGAUUCAAAUAGCAUUUUAUAGCGCUACCGAAAUCUAUAAUAAUAAUAAUAAUAAUAAUAAUAAUAAUAAUAAUAAUAAUAAUAAUAAUAAUAAUAAUAAUAAUAACAUACAGACAAUAAAUAGUUGGUUAUGGUUUAUAUGGCCAGGAAAACAAUGCUGUAUUUUCGCUAAUUCUGUCAUUUUAAUAAAAAAAAAAAACAUUUGGAUAUUCUCCAAUAUUUGCGCUUUAGUAUCUAAAAUCUUGAUUCUGUACAGUUAAGUUUAAGGUUCACGUUGCCCGCGGCUGCCUCGGUGGAUUUUUUCUGUUUUCUACAAAUAAAUUCAUUGUUUUAUAAAAAAAAAACAGCUUUACAUAGCUUUACAUUUUAGCAUUAAUUCAGCGCUACAAAUAACCUUAAUUCGUUAUUAAAAAUAAUUAAUUACAAUAGUCACAAAUAAUAAUGUACAAAAUACAACAAUACUACUACUAUUACUACUACUAACAAUAUUAUUAUUAUUAUUAUUAUUAUUAUUAUUAUUAUUAUUAUUAUGAGUAUUAUUGUUAUUAUUAUUAUUUAUAUUAUUAUUAUUAUUAUUAUUAUUAUUAAUAAUAAUAAUAAUAAUAAUAUUAAUACUUUUUACUGAACUUUUAAAUAACAUUUUUACAUUUGUAUAUUGUCCAACACCGGAGUUAUUUCAAACAAACAACAACAACUGAAAAACAUAUCUUUAUCUAAUUGAUUUAAAUAAAUUACAUCCAGCGAAUCUUUUUAAUUAAUGUUUAUAACAAUAAGGAAAAAAAAUCCUUGUAAAUCUAAACAGCGAAAACUGUGUUUUUUAACUCUGUAGACGAGAUUAAGUCUAUCAUUUUUUCUCCUGUUUGCUGUCAGAGCUAUUUCUUGUUUACUUCAGUGUGGAAACAGCGGACUUAAAUGUAAAAUUAUUUGUAGCGGUUUAAGUGUAUAUCACAUUCUAGAAGAGGGCGGCCGUGUCCCCUCAGCUCGGCUGUGCCCCGGGGUGGCUUCAGCAGCAGCAUUAGUCUGUUUUAAUUCCGCUCAUACUGGCCCGUUUCUCCUCCAGAGCGAAGCAGAUAAUGAUGGUGAAUAGGAGAAGAGUGCAGCAGUGAAGUGGCCCCGGCGCUCUGUUCCGCGCUCUCUGAGCCAUUACAACACGACUCCCGUAAUCUCCGUUAACUCUAAUCACCUCUAAUGUAAAAGGCGCUCAGCUACAAUGAACCAUCAGGUCCAGAAUAAGUGCAUUUACAAACGAAGUGAUGCCUCCCACUACUUUUCCUGACCUCUUCAUUUAUUAAAUAAAUAUCACUUAGUGCAUAAUUACAGCUACAAUUUUGAGGAGCAUCUGAAGAGCAUCUCAGGAGCAUGUGACUGCUUAUUUCAUACAGCCCAAAUUAAAGGUUUGAAUCCCACUUGCUUGUUUGAAAUGUAUUUAAACAAAUGCUGUUGCCAUGUUUGUUCGUGUUUUGUUUUCCAUGUUUUUUUCCUGUCUAAGUGUUUCCCCCUUGGUUCUGGAAGAGUUCACACGAUCAAGCAAGGCACCCAGGUAAUUACCGCGCAUUGUCAAAUAAAGGGACUGCUGAUUCAAAUGAGGAGUGAAAUAUCAAAGAAAAGUGUUCCCUUUGCAGCCAGCCACUUAUCCACACAGGAGACAGCAGUGAGACGACUGCCACAGGGACACUCACAGAGGCUCUGACAACAGACAGCCUUAGAUUCCUUGGUAAAUAUUAGACCCCACAAUAUUUUGCACACAAGCAGACGACGUGUGAAGCUUUGCACUGUACACCUCCCUGGCCAUGCACGGUGCUAAAAAGAGAAUGCCUCAUUUCUGAAAAAACUCAGACCUUCUCUGCACUCAGACAAGCUCAUAAUUUAGUCUCGGCUGUAUGGUGAGAUACUCCAUAGGUAUUGUGCGCAACAUAGGGCCUUAAAGAGAAUAAAGCCCAAGUGAAAUAAUUUAAACUGGCAUAUGGUUGUUUACUGGUAAUUUGUUUGUACAGAAUACUGCUUGGGUUUAAACUCUAGAAAUAUGUUCACCUUUACCACCUGAAAUGCAAGUUUGGGAUAUGAAGACAUAAGGUAUAACUUGUGGAUAAGCACUUUAUUUAAACUGAUAUAAUGGUUUUUUUUUUAUUAUUAUUAUUUGUGUCUCUCAUCUCCUCAAAAAAAAAUAUCCCAUGUUUAGCAAAGGUGGUCUCUAUGGAAAUGCUUAGAUUUCUUCUUUUCUGAGAUUUGGGACUUGCCUCUUUGGAGAAAAGAGGGUCUUACUGGAGAUGCAUCAGCAGUCAUUUGUCCAACAAGUACAAGUUGCAAAUGUUCACAUCGAGAUGCAGCCUUCGUCUAGCUGUAAUUUUCUUGGUUUGAUCUCACUGACGCUGGGAAAUGUACGAUUAUGACACAAUAAAAGAAAUACUUGCAAUGCCGUGGUUGGUGUGUGAAAUGGUUGGAGGCGAAAUUCAGACUGCAAGAAUGUGUGAGAGUUUAACAUUAUAAACACACUUCCCUCCCUCUAGCUUACAGACAGCUCCGAGGGAUACUUUACAUGUAAAUAUUCACUCAGCAAAAGGCCAGAUCAUUAAUUAUUGAGAGCCACAAAAAGUGUAAUACUUCAAUGUUUAACAUGUGCGUCUUAUAACUCAUUAGAUGAGGUUGAGGAUGAGCUGUGAGAAGGGGAAAGUAUUCCUUUCAAACAGUCUGAGAAUUAGCUUGAGAAAAACAAAAUGGAGGAGCUUCAGUUUAAUAGCACUGCUUUUCCAGUUUAGGAGAAACAAAUGAAGAUAUGUUAAGAUAAAAAAAAAUAUUCAAACUAAUAAAGCUUCAUUAAUAUUUUAGUUUAGUCUCAGGCUUUGGUCUGGACUAUUUUUAUGAUAAAAUAAAAAAUAAUCACUGCUUAGGGUCUUUCCACUUAUUCCUCCAAGUGUUUCACAUAAUAAGUAUUAUAAACAUUUGAGUUUAAUAAUAAUGACAGUAGUCUGUUUUAAUCAGAACUGUUGUAAUAAAGUAUUUUUGUGAAAAAAAGACUCUCAGUGUUGAUUAAUAAUUUAUAUAUGCUAAACCUGGCCAUACCUUUUAUGGAUGAAAAAAGGCAAGGUCCUAAUUUAAUGAGGAGAUAAAGGUAAUAUAUGGUAGUACUUGAAUAAAACAUCAUUUUAUUUUUUUAAAGAGUGGAAGAUACAAAAUGUGGCCAUAAUACUUGAUAAAGUUUCAUACUUGGGGAUAGUUUGUUGUCCAACUUUCCCAGUGAAUGGAGUCAGGCUGCAUUCUGGCACCCAUCAUCUUUGUUACACUAUGGCCUGUGGCUGAGCUCUUGACAGAUUGUCACAAGGUGAUAGAACUCAAGUGGAGACACUAGAAGGGUGGCACUUAGAGCACAAGAAGAUUGACUUCUGGGUACACCAUGCAGGAUCAACCCUUUAAAGAGUACCAUCCCACUGGCGUGAGUGGAAUGUGGCAGAAAUGAACAAUUGUAGUAACAACACUAACAUGCAAGAAGAACUGUAACUGAAGGAUCAAAUGUGUCCCUGAAAAUGUAGAUUUGCUUUUCAUCACACAGGUAAAGGUAUGAAUGAAAAAGGUUUGGUUCGGGUACACUGCAAGACAAGUAGGGUUCUAUAUAAACCCUUGUUGUUGAACCUUUUUGUAAUCUGCAAAAGGCUUUUCACCCAAUUAAAGAACAUUUUAAUUAAGCAAAGAA